rnacentral:rRNA from 1 species
AUUGAACGCUGGCGGCAUGCCUUACACAUGCAAGUCGAACGGCAGCACGGACCUCGGUCUGGUGGCGAGUGGCGAACGGGUGAGUAAUACAUCGGAACGUGCCCAGUAAUGGGGGAUAACGCAGCGAAAGUUGUGCUAAUACCGCAUACGCCCUGAGGGGGAAAGUGGGGGAUCGCAAGACCUCAUGUUAUUGGAGCGGCCGCUGGCUGAUUAGCUAGUUGGCGAGGUAAAGGCUCACCAAGUCGACGAUCAGUAGCUGGUCUGAGAGGACGACCAGCCACACUGGGACUGAGACACGGCCCAGACUCCUACGGGAGGCAGCAGUGGGGAAUAUUGGACAAUGGGCGAAAGCCUGAUCCAGCCAUGCCGCGUGUGUUAAGAAGGUCUUCGGAUUGUAAAGCACUUUAAGUUGGGAGGAAGGGUUGUAAGCUAAUAUCUUGCAGCUUUGACGUUACCAACAGAAUAAGCACCGGCUAACUCUGUGCCAGCCGCCGCAGUAA